rnacentral:lncRNA from 1 species
CACUGACCUCCUCUAAUGAGAAUCAACAUGAGAAAAUCUCACAUAUGAAAAUGCAGACUAAUAACAAUAACAAACAUAAAUAAGCACCACCAGUUUGCCAGGCAGCAUGCUAUGCAAUGUUCAUGCCUUCUCUCAUUUAGUUCUCUCAAAUACCCAUGCGGUACAUAUGAUUAUUGCCUCAAACCACCUAUUUAGUCAACAAGUUGAGCACCUACAAUGUGUCCAAAAUCAUUCAGAGCCAGACAUUUGAUACUAAGUAGAACAGCAGGACACGUGUCCCCAUGCUGGUGGUGGGGAUGGGGACAGAAAAGGGCAUUGAGGCUUAGUGAGAUCAAGUCAACUUCCAAGGUCAUAUAGUGAGAAUUUUAACCCAGGGCUGCAGGUGGGGCACAGGAGUCCUUGUCCCCACCUUGGUCUCAUCCUGGAGCCCCCUAGGGAGCCUUACGAAGUGCACAUGCCCCUGUUAGAACUCUCGGCCAUGGGUAGGGUUGUUUUGGUUUUUGUUAAUAAGUAACGUCAAACUGAUGGUGAAACCUUCUCCAGGCAACAACUUCUGACCCCUGUGGAUAGCUUUGGCUUCGUGCACCGGGGAGACAAGAAACUGCCCACGGCCUCCAGUCCUCAGUGGCCCCCACCCAACAGCCUCCUCUUCAUCCACGCAAUGGGGCUUCAGGUCAGACGAGUCGGACUCCUUUGGUCCCUACAGGGGUAAUUCUAAGGACAGUAGGUUCUGGAAACCUUUUUCCUGCUGCGUUCUAAGGAGCUGCUCUGAUACCCAGCCAGCUGUCUCUGGAGGAAGCCCACCACUCCUCAGCCUCCCUGGCAGGCCAGAUCUCAAAUCGUGAUUGCUACACCCUAAUGAUUUAUAGAAUGAGGGAUUUUCGCCCCUGUGGCCUCUGUUCCACUCAGCAGCGCCCUUCUGUGAGCCAGAUGUGAAAGUAUCACACAGGCACAGGAGAUCGGGGUUCUGAUCACAGGCCGCGUGGCAAACUUCCUGCCUGACCCUAGGUAAGUCUUUUACAGAUUUUUCUUCUUUAUCUGAAAAUUGCAGCGGUUGGAUCAAAUCAGUGAUUUUUCAGAUGAAAUCUUCUUCAUAUAUAAAAUAAGCGGCUUUGACUGAAGGAGGAACGGGCCUGGAGUCCUCUCUAUCUUCCCGCUGGCCUCCCUGUCUUCUGUAAAAUCCUCUCAGGCACUGCUGUAACCCCUAGGGCUCCCUGGAAAUGUUGACCUCAUGAGAUGUAGGUAUUUGUUUACCUUAGCAUUAUGUGACAUUUUAUUUCUCUGUAAAAGCAAGAAGAUUGGAUUCAGUUGUUUCCAAGGAUGAGCUGUGAUUUAACCCCAGACUUGCAGAGAUGAAUGAAUGAUCUGCCACCUCUUGCUGAUUAAAGGCUUUAACUUCUCCAUCCAGUGGAAGCAGUUUCCUCCAUGAGAACUAAGAAAGGUCACACAUGGGGGUGAGCUUUUUUGAACAUUGGGGCUGCCUCCUCUGGUUCUUGGGGAGAUUCUGCUUCCUGCAGCAUCAACUUAGAGAUAGCUUUGCUUUCAUGCCACAGAUCCUCUCCUUGGGUACCAAGCAGAGAUAGAGUUCCACAUCAGGAGAUCCCGUUACAUGCUU